rnacentral:rRNA from 1 species
UACGGGGGGGGCAAGCGUUGUUCGGAAUUACUGGGCGUAAAGGGCUCGUAGGCGGCCAACUAAGUCAGACGUGAAAUCCCUCGGCUUAACCGGGGAACUGCGUCUGAUACUGGAUGGCUUGAGUUUGGGAGAGGGAUGCGGAAUUCCAGGUGUAGCGGUGAAAUGCGUAGAUAUCUGGAGGAACACCGGUGGCGAAGGCGGGUCUCUGGACAGUUCCUGACGCUGAGGCACGAAGGUCAGGGGAGCAAACGGG